rnacentral:lncRNA from 1 species
AAUGAUAUACUAAAGCCAAAGGGAACCAAUAUGAAGGAUAAACUAAACCAACCCCAUUCAAGCUUCUCAGGGUUUUCCAGAUUUCUUUGUCCAUCUCACUCUACAGCUUUCAAUUCAAUGUUGCAUGCCCAUAACCAGCUGGUUUCAGGUGAAGGGCUUUCUGGCUUCCCAAACUCUCGUUCCUCCUCACAGAGAAUAGUAUUGCUGCUGCUGAUGUGUGUAUAGGAUGUGGCCUAUAGGAAGUAGGUCAGUUGUUUCUUCCUCCUUGAACCGCCAUCUCCAUACAAUUCAUUCCACUGCUUCAGCUUGUUCAUUACUGCUUCAUCAGAAGCAAAACUAGCAGCAACCUGAUUCUUUGCCUGCCUCAUGUCUUCCAUGUUUAAGGGUCUCAGAACAAUUACCUUUUCCCCUUUGGCUUCUUCUUUGGUAUCCGAAGCAUCCUCUGAGCUUUUCCCUUCAUCAGCUUUCUGCUUCUUUUUCUGUGAAAAGAAAUAUCAGAAAAAAAAGCCCUUGCUCCACCGUGGAAAACUAGUUGGAAAAAGGGAAAAGGAGGAAAAUGAUACUUGGAAGAGCUAAGAGAGUUCUUACUUUAUCCUCCUUCAAUCUCUCUUGUUGUAGUAGCUCCUUUACAGGACGAUAAGCUGCUGUCAUGCACAAAUUCUGUUUCAACGAUUAAUCCCAAGAGUCAACACAACAGCAGAUUCUUAAUCAAUUCACCAUUGAUGUCAGUAGAAGUACAAACCUUAAGAUCACUUCCAGUAUAACCUUCUGUCAUGGUUGCAAGCUCCUUAAAGUCAAGAUCCUCUGCUUUUUCUUUUGCCAAGAGAGUCUUCAAUAUCAUCUCCCUGCUCUCCACAGAUGGUAGACCAACCAUAAUUCUGUUCAUCACAGAUACCAUUAGUUUGCCUACUCGAAGCAUGGUGACACAUUCAUCUAUCUUCAAUAUAUCCUUCUCCAUACAACACGGCUUUAGUUUAAAUGCGGUAAAACGAUGAAAAUGAUGCCGAGUGUGACACAAUAUGCAAAUCUACCUGUGCUCAAACCGCCUGAUAAUCGCCUCAUCAAGGUCAAAUGGCCUGUUGGUUGCAGCAAGAACGAGGACUCGUUCACCAGCUUUUGUCAGUAGUCCAUCCCAAUGUGUCAUGAACUCAUUCUUAAUCUGUCGCAUAGCAUAAUGCUCUCCAACUUCGGUCCGCUGCCCAAGCAAACUGUCAGCCUCAUCCACAAAAAUAAUAGUUGGGGAGAUCUUUGCUGCGAGUGUGAACAGAGCUCGAACAUUCUUCUCAACUUCACCAAACCAUUUUGAAGUGACGGUGGACAUUGAGACAUUGAUGAAGCGUGCUCCAGCUUCAUUGGCAAUGGCCUUUGCCAGCAUAGUUUUUCCAUUACCAGGAGGUCCGAAGAGUAAUAUCCCCCUGCAAGGCUUCAGAAGCCCACCCUUGAAGAGGUCUGGCCUCUGAAGAGGGAGCAUAACCAGCUCCUGAAGAGAUUCUUUAAUGUCAUCCAAGGCACCAAUGUCCUCAAAUGCCACUCCUAUCUGAUUUGCUGGGAUAACCUCUGGCCUUAUACGCCUCUCAAAUUCAUUGUAAGGUGGAACCAACUGUAGCGAAACAAUUAAAAGAGUAAGGGAAUAUCGGAAAAUUUUCUUAGUAAAAUUUUCUUCAACAAAAAGGGGAAAACAAAUGCAAGGGAACCUCCUUACAGUAUGCACCAAAGAAAUCUACAAAAUCUGCAUCAUCUUCUCUUUACUUUGUUGUUUAACUUUCAGAAGAAAGUGGCAUUUGGGACAUGCCAAGCAUCUCAAAGAAAUCUUGUGGGUGAAUACCCACAAGAUCCAGUAGGAAACAGAAGCAGCAUACAAAUAAAACACAUUGAUACAGUUAAGACUCAAGUCAAUGUCAAGGUGAAAAACAAACCUUAGAAGAUUCAGCAUUUGUCUUUCGUGUGUCUUCCUUGAAUAUACUCAAUCCAUGGGACAAACUGUACCAGGGCCACAAUUGUAGUUAUAUAGAACUUUGUCUACAAUAAGAAGCUAAAAGACACAAGCAUGCAAGCAAUUGUAUCUACCUCUUGGAAGAUAUGACAAGCUUUCCAUUUCGGUAUUCUGGAUUUUUGUUAUGCAUCAAAUGAUAAGAUAGUGCAGAUAUUACAAUCUCUUCUAUGUGGUCACUUAGAAUCAUGGAGUCUGCAUGGCAGAUUGAACCCAAAUUAUCACAGCCAAUAUCAUUUGCUGCAAGCACCUCAGCAAUAUGAUUUUUGUUUUCCUGAAACUGGAUCAUCUCUCUCUCCUUUUCCAGUUGGGCUUCCCAGAUAUCAAGACAAGUCUCAUCCUCGGGCUCCUUGAUUUCAAUAUUGUAAGGGAAUAAGAGACUCACCCUUUCAUCCAUUUCUUCGUCCUCGUCAUCAGGGUCUAGCAUGCGGGAACCAAGUAUCAGAACUGAUCCUGAUAAUCUACCCAACAUUUUCUGGAACAAUUUGUAUAAUCUUUCUGAUUGGAGAAGAAGCUUCUCGACAUCCCUGAGGUAUAAAAUAAUGGGACAUGUUUCUGAUACUGAAUCCAAGACCUGUUAGUAAUAUAACACAUCAUCAAAACAAGAUCAAGCAUGAAUGUGAUAGCUAGGACUCUCAGACUUAGAACAGAAAACCGAUUCCUCAUAGAUUACCUUGUAAAGUGACUGCAAAAGUUGCUUCUCAUCAAAAGCCCAGUUGCUUGUGCGCUUGAAAUGAGCUACAAAAGAAAUGAGCAGCAGUAAGAAUAACAUCUACUUCCAGAGAAGAAAUGUCAAAAAGACAGUGAUCAAAGGAAUAAGAGGGACAAAACAAAUUCUCUCGGAACAUGAAUUCAUAGCAUCCGAUGUUCUCUUCUUAGGACAAAACUAGUAACCUGAACUUGUAGUAACACGUUGAGAAGCAACAGUGUUCUUUGUAUUAGAUGGAGUAGAAGCAUUGCUACCAUGCUUUGGAGGAUUCAUACAUCUGCAAAUGUGUAUAGGUGUAGGUUUAGAAGUAAUGCAUGAGAGACUUAAUACCUAAAUAGACAAUUAACCAUUGAAGCCCAAUUGUUUGGGGCCAGUAGAACUAAUUAAGAGUACAAGUGGCCUACCAUACCUUGAUUUAAUAUGGGCACCACUGCUUUGCCUAGACAAUGUGCCUGCAUUAGAAGUCCUGACCCGAGCUAAGUUGCGGAUAAAAUAAAAUCAACAAAAAGUUAAAAAGAACAAGACAGCAAAGAAAAUCAGAAGGCGUGAGUUGAAGUUGGUUCAAAGAAUGUAAUGUCUGGAUCAACUAAGAUGGUGUAGUAUAUCAAGACUAAUGAUCAAUGCUAACAACAAAAUUAAGCAUCUUUAAGAGCAUAGUUAUUCCUCCUCUCCCUAAUAACAAAAUAUUAUGAACUCUAUGGAAAUUGUUAGGGCUUUAGCACCAAGUGUAAAAUAUUGACACGACAUACACAUUAAACUAGCUUUGGGAUCAAUUGGUCACCUAACAUGGCAUUAGAACCUUUGGUUUCCAAGAGGUUAUUAUUGUAACCACUCUUUAUUUCUCCAUUUAUUAAGCCUAUGUGCAAAACUAAAAAAGACUGCCUAGGACGUAAGAGGUAUCAUAGAUUAACCCAAAUAUAAGUUGGCAUGAAAUACAUAGUUGGCACGUUACCUAAUAGUUUAAACAUUUAGGUCAAUUGGUAGUGCCAUGAUUUAUGGAAGGUUUUGGAUCAGGUUUUGACAAUUUCAUUUGAAAACUAAUUGAUGGUCACUAGGGUAGGUCAAAUCUUUUAUGACAUUCGACAUCACAUCCUAUGGGCUUAUUCUAAGAGUCAUCAUUUAGGUGACUCAUUUUCAAGCUUAAGAGUGACAUUGUUACACCCCAACAAUCCCUCCCUCAACAUGACACUCUUGUAACUCGAAUUCAUGACCCUGACUCUGACUCUGAUAUCAAUUUUUGGAUAGAACUUUUGACUAUCUCAUCUGAAAACCAAUUAGUGGUCAAUGAAAGUAGGUCAAACCUUUGAUGAUAUUUAACAUCACACCCUAUGGGUCUAUUUUAAGAUUCAUCAUUUGGGUGUUUCAUCCUUGAACUUAAGAGUAACAUUGUUGCACCCCGAUAGAAGAUAAUAUGUUUGAACCUUGCCAAUGUUUAUUUCUUCAUUAAUUAGGCCCAAUUGCAAGCCCAAUAAAGAAUUCAGGUGACAGGGUAGUAAGGUCUUUAGCCUAAGUUUAAGUUGGCACUAGUACACGUAGUUUGCCGAAAAGCUUUAGCUUUGAGGUCAAUUGCUAGCCACAAAAAGUUAAAACACUAAAAGAAAAAUCACUAGGCACUCUACAAACCACAAGUUAUACAACUUGAUUCUUAUGAACAUUAAGGAGUUGGUAUUCUGUUGAUAGUACCUUUGGUUUCUUCUUCUUCACUCUGGAGAAGGAUUGAGAAAGAGCCAAGAAAACCAGACAUCGGCCCCAGUGUCACCUCUGAGAUGGACUUCUUGGAAGACUACAAAAAGAAAACUAAAUGAGAGCGGAAAUCUUCUUGGAUGGAAAGGCAUUUUUAUUCACCAAGAAAAGAAACAUGCUUACAGAUUCUCUUUUGGGGCUUCCAUAUUUGCUCUGCAUCUGAGAAAUGACAAUCAUAGCAGCAAGAUUUAGCGAUAUAUACAGUAUGAAAAGCUAAAUUUAAGGAAGAUUGAGUCUCUACAUAUUAAUUUCACCUUCAGAGAAAAGUCAUUAAGGUCCAACAGCAGCAACUUUGCUUGGAAGAAAUGAGCUAGAGCUUUGGCGAGUGUUUGCUGGUACAGUUCUGCAAAGGCAACCAAGUUAAUUAGGCCAUUGAAAGGACUCAGAACCAUAGUUAAAUAUCCAAAUGCAGGGUCAGAUCACAUAGUCCAGACGGCAUACCAGCAGGUCCUGAGAGCAAAAUAGCUCUGCUUGCAGGCGUAAGGUUUCGGGUGUGCUUAGAAAAGUCAGACUGCCUUAGAUGGAAAUGUGCAGCACUUGUCAGUAACACUCUUGUCUGCUUACUGUCAUGGCCAUUGACAACUACAUUAGUUUGUGUAAAUAUCAAUAUUACAUAUGGAAGUAAUAAAUCAUUACGCACCUGAGGAAAUAAGGAAACUUGUCGAAGGUGAUCUUGCUUUCCCUUCCAUCCAUGACCUGUCGCCGUAGCUCAUGCUCAAUCUGCUCUUCUGUAAUUGCGUCCGGCCAGAGUUUCAGCCCCGUCCAUCGACACACUGUCUGUCCAGAAGCCAAACCAAGGCCAACCGAGACGCCCACCCCAACGAUCAAGGCAGACAACAAUAUGUGCUUCUGUUCCAUCACUUGAGGCCUCCACCAGGAAACUAUGCGCGCGGCUCCUCCAUCCAACCUUAACACACAAACAAACAGAAAACAAACAACAGUCGUGUAUACUCUUGCCCACUGAUCACACUAAAACAAGCAUACAACACAAACCCAUCAACCAAAGGCCUGUUAUCCAAUCAGAAAAUGAUUUCUUUCCUGAAAAACUUCAUCCCCAACACAUUUGUUUUCACACCAGAUAAGUGGCAUACUAUUACAACUCAACACACCCACCCUAGAAACAUGACCUCACAGACAUUCAUAAUUUCAUAUAUACCAAGAAGAAUUGAGACUCAACAAAAGACCCACCAACAAGCACGUUGAUGAAGAAACUUCUCACUAGAAAAGUGUAGAGGUUUGGACACAGAAAUGUAUGAAUCUCUGUUUGGACAGGUUUAUAACUGCGAAUGUGGCUGUGUUCUUUGUUCUUCCGGGGCUACUUAUAUAUAUAUUUUUUCAUUUUUGUUUUUUAGCAUGGUUUUGAAAGUGGGACAGAUCGGAUUAAGCGCCCUUUUCCCCUCUCCUGCAUGUCAGUGCACUCCUCCCAACGUUUGAAACUGCCAUUUUUUAUUUUAGGACAUGAUUUGUAAUAGUAAAUUUAGACUCUACUGAAAAUUUAAGCCAUGCCGACAUCAAAUAUUUGUAUAUAUGCCGACAUCAAAUAUUAAUAUAUGGAUAGAUAGUGUUGGUGUGAUCUUGUAAGUGCGGUUGGGCAGUGACCAGGUCGACACCGAAAUACAUGACGAGUGGAUAGCGUUAGGAUGUGUUUGAUUGCACGAAAGAACCAAAGAUCUUAAGUGCAUAUCAUUUUAGGAAAAAUUAAAAUACGAAUGACGACAAACCAUAACACAUCAAAGAAUUCAAAAUUCUAACCAUAGUAAGCUUUGAUUUAAGUAAUUUUUUUAGUUUUAGUCUCCUCUCUAGUGGGUAUUCUAACACGAUAAUGAAUGACAAAUGGAAAAUCCUCUCAAACAAUACUUUUGCCCUAUGCUUGAUUUUUGGAAAAUAGAAAAAAAAAAAAUUAAUUAUUUUUUACAUUUUUUUUAAUUUAGUUUAUUUAUUUUUCUUUUUUAUAUUAAAAUUAUAUAAUUUUAAAUUUUUAACUAAUUUUAAUUAUAUUUUAUUUUAUUUUUAUAUUUCACUGGAUAAAUCAAAUUUAAGAAUAUUAUUAUUAUUUUUCACACCAAAUGUAAUCUGAAUCAUUUGAUUUCAUAAUUGUAUCAUUUUUAUGGUGAAAAUAAUAGUUGUUCUAAUUUUUUAAACCCCCAACUCUCAUCUCUAGUGCAUUGAGAAUCACUUCUAAAAAUUUAAAUUGAGAGAAUCAUUUGAAAUGAUUCAUUUAGAAAAAAAGGAACAAAAGCCAUUGCUCCCCGGAGCCACUCACACCCCUCCGUAGGCCCACAGUCUGUCCAGAAGCAUACCGAAGCCCAAUCGAAACACCCACCACGCUCAACGCAGACAACAAAAAGUGCUUCGGUCCCAUCUCCCUUUAGGCCUCCACCAACAAACUACACACAAACAAACAGAAAAACGAAGCUCAAUCCCAAGAACCAAACACACAAACAAGCAGUGUUGAUGGCAGAAUGUGAUUGAAAACUCAGAGAAAUUUGGAAAAUACUGAGAAGGGUCUUCUGGGGUUCGAAUUUAGAGCCUACCCUUUUCGUAUGGUACGAGUUUGGACGCAGAAAUGGCAUCAAUCUCUGCCUCCUUCGCUCUUUCUUCUCUCACUUCUCUGUUCUUCGAGGGCUACUUAUAACGGUGCAUUGUUUUGUUUUGUUCUGCUUUGCUACUUUGUUUUGUUUUAUUAUUAUUAAGAUAUAUUUAAAAAUAUAGAAUGCAGUGUGGGGACAUUCCAAGCUCCAACUACGCUUGGAAAAAACUAUUUUUGAAAACAUUUUCCAAACAACCUCUCACUUUCUGCAAAUCCAUUGGCAUCUCCAAGUAGCAAACAUUUACAAAAACAUUACUAACAAAUACCCAGAAACUGGUGGCAGUUUGUUUAUAUUUUCUAGAAUGGCCUGUUAAUAAAUACUGACAACUCCCCUCUAAGAAUGAUAUACACAAGCAAAGGAACCAAUAUGAAGGAUUAUUCAAGCUUCUCUGGGUUGUCCAGAUUUCCUUGCCCAUCUCACUCUACAGCUUUCAAUUCAAUGUUGCAUGCCCAUAUCUAGCUGGUUUCAGGUGAAGGGCUUUCUGGCUUCCCAAACUUCCUAUAAGAUGUGCCCUAUAGAAAGUAGGUCAGCUGUUCCUUCUUCCUUGAGCCGCCUUCUCCAUACAAUUCAUUCCACUGCUUCAGCUUGUUCAUUGCCGCUCCAUCAGAAGCAAAACUAGCAGCAACCUGAUUCUUUGCCUGCCUCAUGUCUUCCAUGUUUAAGGGUCUCAGAACAAUUACCCUUUCCCCUUUGGCUUCUUCUCUGGUAUCCGAAGCAUCCUCUGAGCUUUUUCCUUCAUCAGCUUUCUGCUUCUUUUUCUGUGAAAAGAAAAAUCAGAAAAAACACCAUUGAUCUACUGUGGAAAACUUGUUGGAAAAAGCGAGAAGGAAGAAAACGAUACUUGGAAGAGUUAAGAGAGUUCUUACUUUAUCCUUCUUCAUUCUCUCUUGUUGUGCUAGCUCCCUUACAGGACGAUAAGCUGCUGCCAUGCACAAGUUCUGUUUCAAUUGUUAAUCCCAAGAGUCAACACAGCUGAUUCUUAAUCAAUUCAUCAUUGCCAUCAGAAGUACAAACCUUAAGAUCACUUCCAGUAUAACCUUCUGUCAUGGUUGCAAGCUCCUUAAAGUCAAGAUCCUCGGCUUGUUCUUUAGCCAAGAGAGUCUUCAGGAUCAUCUCUCUGCUCUCCACAGAUGGUAGACCAACCAUAAUUCUGUUCAUCACAGAUACCAUUAGUUUGCCUACUCAAAGCAUGGUGACACAUUCAUCUAUCUUUAAUAUAUCCUUCUCCAUAGCUUCAGAGUAAAACGAUGAAAAUGAUGCUGAGUGUAACACAAUAUGCAAAUCUACCUGUGGUCAAACCGCCUGAUAAUCGCCUCAUCAAGGUCAAAUGGCCUGUUGGUUGCAGCAAGAACGAGGACUCGUUCACCAGCUUUUGUCAGUAGUCCAUCCCAAUGUGUCAUGAAUUCAUUCUUAAUCUUUCGCAUACUACAAUCCUCUCCAAAUUCAAGUCGCUGCCCAAGCAUGCUAUCAACCUCAUCCACAAAAAUAAUAGUUGGGGAGAUCUUUGCCGCAAGUGUGAACAGAGCUCGAACAUUCUUCUCAUCUUCACCAAACCAUUUUGAAGUGAUGGUGGACAUUGAGACAUUGAUGAAGCUUGCUCCAGCUUCAUUGGCCAUAGCCUUUGCCAGCAUCGUUUUUCCAGUACCAGGAGGCCCGAAGAGUAGUAUCCCCCUGCAAGGCUUAAGAAGCCCACCCUUGAAGAUCUCUGGUCUUUGAAGAGGGAACAUGACCAACUCCUCCAGUGAUUCUUUAAUGUCAUCCAAGGCACCGAUGUCAUCAAAUGUCACUCCUAUCCGAUUUGGUGGGAUAACCUCUGGCCUUAUACGACUCUCAAAUUCAUUGCAACGUGGAAAUACCUACAGGGAAACAAUAAGAACCACAGCAAUUAGAAGAGUAAGGUCAUGUUUGGUUCCAGAAAAUACUAAAGGAAUAAAAAAAAAUGCUAAAAAAAAUUAUUUUCUCAUGUUUGGUUUAAUUUUAGAAAUAUGAAAGAAAAUCAAAUAUAAUUAAAAUUAGUACAAAAUUUAUAUAUUUUUAAAUUAUUUAAUCUUUAUAUAAAAGAACUAAAUAAGUUAAAUGACUUUGAAGCAAGAUAUGAAAAUAAUUUACUGACUUUAAAUUUAUUUUUUAUUUUUCUUCACUUUUUCUUUCCUUUACUUUUCCUCUCUAUUUUUGUUCCCUCACAUUUUCACUCAAACUUUCCAAAAACCAAACACAGCCUUAGGGAAUUGGAAAAUUUUCUUGGUAAAAUUUUCUUUCACCAAAAAGGAAAAACAAAUGCAAGGGAACCUCUUUACAGUAUGCAACAGAGAAAUCUAAAAAAUUGGCAUCAUCUUCUGUUUAACUUUGUUGUUAAACUUUCAGAACAGAGUGACAGACUAAGAAUCUCAAUUGCAUUAAAAUUCAAAGCAUCCACCCACAAGAUUCAAUAGAAAACAGAAGCACACCAAUAAGCACAUUGUUGCUGUUAAGGGUCAAUAUCAUUCACACUAUGCUCAGAUUGUUGAAUGGUAGAAUGUUGAGAUGUAGAACGAACCUUAGAUUCAGCAUUUGGUGCGUCUUCCUGGAAUAAACUCAAUCCAUGAGACAAACUGUACCAGGGCCACAAGAAUAUUUAUAUGGAACUUUGUUUCAAAUAAAAAUAAAUAAAUAAGCAAAGAAGACACAAGCAUAGAAACAAUUGUAUCUACCUCUUAGAAGAUAUGACAAGCUUUCCGUUUCGGUAUUCUGGAUCUUUGUUAUUCAACAAAUGAUAAGAUAUUGCAGAUAUUACAAUCUCUUCUGUGUAAUCACUUAGAAUUUCAGGGUCUGCAUAGCAGAUUGAACCCAAAUCAUCACAGUCAAGAUCAUUUGCUGCAAGCACCUUAGCCAUAUAAUUUUUGUUGUCCUGAAACUGGAUCACCUUUGUCUCCUCUUUCAGUUGGGCUUCCCAUCUAUCAAGAUGAGUCUCAUCCUCAGGUUUCUCGAUUUCAAUAUUGCAAGGGAAUAAAAGACUCACCCUUUCAUCCAUUUCAUUAUCCUCAUCAUCAGGGUCUAACAUGCGGGAACCAAGUAUCAGAACUGAUCCCGAUAAUUUGUCCAACAUUUUCCGGAACAAUUUGUAAAAUCUAUCUGAUUGCAGAAGAAGCUUGUCAACAUCCCUGAUGUAUAAAAUCAUGGAACAUGUUUCCGAUACUGAAACCAAGACCUGUUAGUAAUAUAACACAUCUGCCUGUCAGUAACUAAAAUAAGCAAUAUUUGUCACUCUCAAUCAUGAUAAAGCAUCAUCAGAACGAGAUCAUACAUGAAUCUGAUAAGACUAUCAGAUUUAGAACAGAAAACUUAUUCUUAGAUUACCUUGUAAAGCGACUGCAAAAGAUGUUUCUCAUCAAAAGCCCAGCUGCUUGUGCACUUGAUAUGAGCUACAAAAGAAAUGAGCAGCAGUAAGACUAACAUCUAGUUCCAGUAAUUUUUUUAAACAAACAGACUUAAAACUAUAAAUACACAACAGAAAAAAAUAAAGAAAUAAACUGUAUGAAAUGUAAAACAGACGACAUUCAAAGGAGUAAGAGGGACAAAAUAAAUUUUCCUGGAACAAAAGUUCAUAGCAUUGGAUGUGCUGUACCUAGGACAAAUCAUAUUCAUUUAUUUGGUGAAAAAUAAUGUAUAUAAUGGAUGCUCAAUAGUUGGGAUUGGAUAUGUUCAUGAGGUUGAGGUGGUUCAGGGAUAAUCUCCCUGAUAGGAUCCAUCCAAUGUGGAAUUCUUAUAGAUCUGUGUCAUUGAAUGACAGUGAUGCAGAUGAAACCAAGAGUAUUCCAAUUUAGUUCUAAGACCUAACCUGAACUUGUAGUAGUACAUUGGGAGGAAUGGUGCUCGCAUUAGAUGAAGUAGAAGCACUACCACAAUGUUGUGGAGGAUCCAUACUUCUGCAAAUGCAUAUAGCUACAGGUUUAGAAAUGAUACAUGGAACUCAAUACCUAAAUAGAUGACCAUUGAAUCCCAAUUAUUUAGGGGCCGGCAGAAUUAAGAGUGUAAGUGGUCUACCAUACUUUGACUUAAUAUUGGCACCAGUGCUUUGCCUAGAUAAUGUGUCUGUAUUAGAAGUUGGGAUCAAAGCUAAGUUGUGGAGAAAUUAGAAUCGACAAGAAGUAAAAAGAACAAGACAGCAAAGGAAAUCAAAAGGCAUGAGUUGAAGUUCAUUAAAAGAAUGUAAUGUGUGGUUCAAAUAAAAAGGUGUAGUAUAUCAAGACUAAUGAUCAGUGCUAACUACAAAAGCAUCUUUAAAACCAUAGUUAUUCCUCCUCUGUCUAUUAUGAGUUAUAUGGACAUUGUUAGGACUUUAGCUUAAGCGUAAGUUGGCAUAACAUACAUAGUUGUACCACUUUAACUGAGCUUGUAUCAAAAUUAGAGUUUUAAAUAUUAGGAGCUGCAAUUCUAUUAAUACCUUUGGUUUCUUCUCUUUGGGGAAGGAUUGAGAAAGAGCCAAGAAACCCAGAGAUUUGCUUCAAUGUCGUCUCUGGGAUGGACUUCUUGGAAGACUACAAAAAGAAGCUACCCGUUCAGGAAAUACUCCACUUAGAAAACGCAGGGCAAGUUAAACAUGAAGUGCUGAAAUGAAUAAUAUUUAGUUCACAACAAAGAAUGAUGAUUGCAAUGUUUCAUGGUUAACCUUGAUCAACCCUACUAAAUCAGAAUGCAAGGAUUCAUGGAUGGAAAGGCACUUUCAUUUUCAGCAAACAAAGAAAUGCAUUUUCAUCAUCAGAAUAAUUCAGCGAAGGCUUACAUAUUCUUUUCUGGGACAACCAUAUUUGCUCUGCAUCUGAGAAAUGCCAAUCAUAGUGAGAUUUAGUGAUGUAGUAUCAAAAGCUAAAUUUGAGGAAGAUUGAGUUAGUGCAUAUUUCACCUUUAGAGAAAAGUCAUUAACAUCCAACAGCAGCAACUUUGCUUCAAAGAAUUGUGCUAAAGCUUUGGCGAGUGCUCGCUGAUAAAGUUCUUCAGAAGAUAAACAAGAAUAAAAAUGAAGCAAAAGGCAACCAAAUUGGGCCAAUUAAAAGGACUAAGAAACAUAAAUAUCCAUAUCAGAUCACAUAUUCCAGACAACAUACCAGCAGGUCCUGAGAGCAAAAUAGCCCUGCCUGCAGGCAUAAGUUUCUGGGUGUGCUUAGAAAAGUCAGAGAGCCUUAGAUGAACAUGUGCAGCACUUGUCAGUAAUCCUCGUGUCUGCUUACUGUUGUAGCCAUUGAUAGAAAGGAACAACAUUAAAAUAAAUAUAAAAAGAGAUCACAUUGUAAUGAAUAUGCUUAGAAUUAUAGUGUCUAUGUAAACUAGAACAAUAUGAGAGUGCUCUAUAGCUACUUCAGAAUAUGCACCAUCAACAUUUAUUUUGUGUUUCAAAAUAACAGUGAUCUUAUGCCAUUUAACAAGAAAACUCAAAUCACCCCAAAUUGCAUCCUAGUCUGAACUUUUUCGUUAGGUAAGGGACCUUCAGACAAAGUCUUAAACAUAUGUACCUCAACAAAGGGACCCUUAAUCCCCAAAUAACUACUCUUCUCUUUAAUCCAUUAAAUCUAAAUAAUGAAGCUCAGUACCCAAACUGAAAAAUCACAGUUUGAUUGCAGAGGCAAAUGCAAUAGCUAAUUGGUGAGAAGGAAAAUCAAACAGAAAAUUUCCAUAUUCACUAUACAAUUGAGUGACACAAACCAGCAAUAUGAAACAAACAAAAAAAAAAAAAAAAAAAAAAAAAAAAAAAACAAAAAAACAAAAAAACAAAAACAAAACAAAAAGAAAUAUAAAUAUGGGGGAAAAAAAUGAAACCCCCAUCAAUUAGAAUCCCCAAAAGAAGAUUAUUAAAGGAAUUUCAAAAGGGUAUAGAAGAACCAGUACUGUGAUAGCAGUACAUAGUGACAGAAGCAGCAUAUGCAGCAUACAAUUUUCUCUAAUACAACCUUUCAUAUAGACGUAAGAACAAACAAUACAUAUGCAAGUAAUGAAUCAUUACCUGAGGAUAUAAGGAAACUCCUCAAAUGUGAUCUUGCUUUCCUUUCCAUCCACAACCUGUCCCCGUAGCUCAUGCUCAAGCUGCGCUUCUGUAAUUGCGCCCGCCGAGCAGUUCAGCAGCCCGGUCCAUCGGCUCAUUGUCUGUCCAGAGGCCAAAGUAAGGCCAACCGAAACACCGAUCCCGAGGCUCAGAGCAGACAGCAAGAUUUGCUUCUGUUCCAUUACUUCAGGCCUUCCCCAACCUCAAAUUCUCUCCCAAAAAAGACUAUACCCUCCUCUAUCCAACCUUAGCAGACAAAACAAACAGAAAACAAAGCUCAAUUCUAAGAAGCAAUUAAACAAACAACACUUGUUUCUACUCUUUCCCACUAAUCACACUUCUUCAAUACUCAAUCCACAUGGAAAAUACCAGAGGAAAAAAAAAAAAAAACAAUUCAAACCCAUCACCCAAAUUCCUCUUUAUAAUAAUAAAAAAAAAUGAUUGUUCUGUGGAAAACUUCAACCUCACCACAUCUGUGUUCACACCAGAUAAAUGGCAUGGUAGUACCACUCAACACACCCACGUGAGAAACAGGAACCCAGAGGGUUUCACACCAAGAUAAAAUGGAAUCAAUGAUGAUUGAAACAAAACAAAAGACCACCAAAAUGUACGUUGGAGAAAAAACUUCACUCUAGGACAGGGUAAUACUAUGAGCAGUGUUGAUGGCAGAAUAUGUUUGAAAAUCCAGAGAAAUUUUUGGCAGAGACUGAGAAGUACUUUUGGGAUUGGAAUUUUCAGCCUACCCUUCCAGUAUGGUAGAGGUUUGAACACAGGAAUGCAUGAAUCUCUGAUUGGCACGCCAUUGGUGUACCAGUUUGGACAGGUGUGUAACUAGGGAAUGGUUUUCCUUCUUUUUUUAUAAUUUUAUUAUAUAUAUAUAUAUAUAUAUAUAUAUAUAUUUUAAUAGGUGUCAUAUUAUGUUUGGGCUGACUUGUGGUGGGUUGCCGUUGACGCCGAAGUCGAUCGAGUCCAUUGCUUUGGCCUUUUUUGCUUUAUUGGUUAUUAAUUAUUAUAAUAGUAUUAUUAUAGAGCAGGUAUAGGGCUAAAGUUAUGCACAUGGUCAAGGUUUGAAAUUCCGGAAAAUUUCGUCAAAAUAUCGGAUAUUGGUCAAUCCCGAAGCGAAAUAUCGGUCAAAUUAUAAAAUUGGGGUGGUUUUUAAAAUUCUGAAUUGGGCUUCCAUGGACCGGCCCAAAGGAUGGCCUCCAUGCGCACUCACCACAGCCCAGCCCGGUAGGCAUUGAACCCUUGAUUCCACGCAUGAAAUGAAAGGCCCCACCAUUAAGCCAACCUUGCUUAGGGUGUACGCAUCACGAACCACCGUUAUAUCUAAGAUUUAUAAAUGUAAUUAUAUUAUAAAUUAAUUAGAAUAAAAUUAUUGUAAAUAAAUUAUUUCAAAUAUAAUGUAUUUUAUAUAAUAAUUAAAUUCAAAAUAAAUAUAAUUCUAUAAAUAAAAUUAUCAAUGUUUUAAAAUAAAAAAUAACUAUACAUAUAUUAUCAUUUAUUUUAUGUCAUUGAAUACAUCUUAUAAAUGUACAUUUAAAUUUUUGAAUAUUAUUAUUGGUUAUCAUAAAUUAUAUCUUACAUAUAUUAUUUAUUUUUAAUAAAACAACUUUAAAAUUGUUGGGUUUUAAGGGUAUAGAAACAAAUGACUAGCCCAAAAAGACACAAACAAAUAACAAAAUUAAUAAGAAUAAAAAUUUAUCGACUGAGAUAUAACAAACACUAUCCUUAAAAUAGAUCUACCCUCUUCGAAUACGAACUUGGUGCACUAGGGUACCAAUGGUCUACCUCUAAGAUUCAACAGUCAAAUCUUGUAUUGGGUGCACUUUGUAAGCUUGGUUCUCAAAAAAAUUUUCCAAAUAGAUGUAUGAAAAACUCUCUAAAAAAUUCUCUGAAAAUUUUCUAUUCAUAUAUAAAGAGUGAGGGGUAACCUGCUUUUAUAGGCCACUAACACAAUCUUAAUGAAAAUCUACUUGUAAUCAAAACAAGACUCAAAGUGGAAGGGGAUUCUACUUCUAAAAAGAAUAAGACUCCACUAAAAAUAAUUCCCAAAAGGACUCUUCCCAAAAAUAUAAAACUAAUAGAAUAAAAUAAAAUAAAAAUAAAAAUUAUUUACACUCUUCCUACAAUCCUCCACAGAGUGUAAACGUAAUUUUUUAUUUUUUAUUUUUGAGGAAAAAAAAUUCCAAUGCAUCAAUAUUGGUAUCCAAAGGAUAUGAACCAAUCUUAAGACAAAUAAGUAUUGAGUCACAAAACACAGUGAAAAUAAAUUUCUAUAUAACCAGUGUUUCUUGAUGUAACUCAAGGGACUUUUAUCCACAUUAGUUUUCUCAACUACACUACGAGUUAUAUACAAAACGGGUUGGCACAAAUAGGUCAUGCACCUUGCCUGGAUAUUCAUGAGAGCUCUAGAGAACCUACCUAAGUUCUCAUUGGAAGCGACCCCACCUCCAUUCUCAUAUAGGUGAAUCCAUUAAGUAUGUUCUGCAUUUAAACAUACCAUCCAUAAGGAAUAUGGUAUUCAUUAAGAGUAAACACUCAACCUUAAUCAAUGCAGAAUACGCUCUAUCUACACCAUAAGGAUAAACUCUCAUACAAUUAGAGUUGAUAGAGCACAUCAAGUCAACAAGUGAUUUGUUAAUACCCAUAUGAACCUACUUCAUGGAAUUUCCAUUAUAAUAGGUUGGGUUACAACCACUCUUGACUUCUGUAAUAGGCAUAAGCCACAUCCCCCUCGAUGUUUCUUCCACUAGUUUCUUAUUUAGUGGUUUGGUCAAAUGAUCGACCAAAUUCAACUAUGACCUCACAAAUUCUAGGGAUAUAACCCUUGUUUCAAGCAACUACUGCACAAUAUUGUACCUUAGGCGUAUAUACAUGUUCUUCCCAUUAGAUAUUUUACUCUUAGCCUUAACAAUUGCAGCUUGGCUAUCACAACGCAUAGACACAGACGGAGCUGGUCUCGUCCAUCAAGGGAUAUCUACUAAGAGGUUUCUAAGCCACUCAACCUCAGAACUUGUCUUUUCUAAGGCAAUAAACUCAGCCUCCAUGGCAGACUAAGUAAUGCAAGUUUGCUUGACAGACUUCCAAGAAACUGCACUUCCACCAAGGAUAAAAACAUAUCCAUUAGCGGAUUUCAUCUCAGCUGAAUCCGAGAUCCAAUUUGCAUCUCUAAAUCCUUCAAGGACACUUCGAAAUCCACUAAAGCACAAACCAUAGUUAAUGGUGCCUCUCAAAUACUUAAGAACUUUAUGAACAACAGUCUAAUAGUUCUAAUUAGGAUUUUGGGUGUACCGACUCAAUGUACCUAUUGCAUAAGCAAUGUCAGGUUUGGUACAGUUCAUUAAGUACAUUAGGCUCCUUAUGAUUCGAGCAUACUCUAUUUAAGCAAUACUAUGUUCUAUAUUUUUCUUCAACUGUAAGCUAGGAUCAUAAGGAGUUGACACUGGUUUACAAUCAAAGUGUUCAAGCUUUCUUAGGAUCGAUAUUUUCAACAUAGUGCUCUUGAGAAAGUUUAAGCUCAUUAGGUGUUCUAGUUAUUUUAAUUCCUAGAAUCACCUCUGCCUCUCCUAGGUCUUUCAUAUCAAACUUAGAACCUAGGAAUUUCUUGGUCUCACACACAACCUUUAGGCUAGUUCCAAAUAUCAACAUCUCAUCAACAUAAAGGCAAAUGACUACACAUGUGUUAUUCUCAUACUUGCUAUAGAUACACUUGCCAGCAUCAUUAAUGGAAUAUCCAUUAGUUACUAACACAUGAUCAAACUUGUUGUGCCAAUAUUUGGGAGCUUGUUUUAACCCUUCCACAACUCAUAAGGAGUUUUACCAGUUUUUUUUGUAAGGUACUCUAUUUUAAAUAUGACAUGCGGAUAGGAUAGCCUCCCCCCCCCCCCCCCCCACAAGUUCAAGGGUGCUCUUAAACUUACCAACAUUGUAGAGAAAACCCUUUCCUACCAUCUCUUAAAGAAUGUCCCAUUAAAGGAAUCAAUUUUAGAGGUGUCAAGACGGGUGUGAACUAAGAAAGCUUCCAUUUGGAUAUAUUUUAAAAUUGUUGGGUUUUAAGGGUAUGGAAACAAAUUACUUGCCCCAAAGAUACAAACAAAUAACAGAAUUAAUAAGAAGAAAAACUUUUCGGCUGAGGCGUGACAAACACUGUCCUUUAAAAAAAAUCCCCCCCCUCCAAGACGAAAUUGAUGCACUAAGGGACCAAUGGGCUACCCCCCGGAAUCAAUAAAUCAAAACUCCGAUUGGGGGCACUCUAAAAAGCUCAUUUCUCAAAAAAAUUNNNNNNNNNNNNNNNNNNNNNNNNNNNNNNNNNNNNNNNNNNNNNNNNNNNNNNNNNNNNNNNNNNNNNNNNNNNNNNNNNNNNNNNNNNNNNNNNNNNNGGUAUGGAAACAAAUUACUUGCCCAAAAGAUACAAACAAAUUACAGAAUUAAUAAGAAGAAAAACUUAUCGGCUGAGGCGUGACAAACACUGUCCUUUAAAUAGAUUCACCCUCCUCGAAGACGAACUUGAUGCACUAGGGUACCAAUGGUCUACCUCCAGGAUUCAAUAGUCAAAUCUCGUAUUGGGUGCACUCUAUAAGCUCAGUUCUCAAAAAAUUUCUCCAAUUAGAUGUAUGAAAAACUCUCUAAAAAAUUCUUUGAAAAUUUGCUAUUCAUAUAUAAAGAGUGAAGGGUGACCUACUUUUAUAGGCUAUUAACACAGUCCUAAUGAGAAUCUACUUGUAAUCAGAACAAGACUUAAAGUGGAAGGGGAUUUUACUUCUAAAAGGAAUGAGACUCCACUAAAAAUAAUUCCCAAUAAGACUCUUCCCAAAAAUAUAAGACUAAUAGAAUAAAAUUAAAUUAAAUAAAAACAAUUUCUAAUAGGACUCUUCCCAAAAAUAUAAGAUUAAUAGAAUAAAAUAAAAUAAAAAUAAAAAUUAUUUACAUUCUUCCUACAAAAAUAUCUAUUAUUACUUCUUAUAUGAUUUCUUAGAGUUUUUCUUAAUAUUUUCAUGAAUUUUGAUCAAUUUUCAUCUUAUCGUUAUUUUGUGUUAAAAUAUCUACCAAUAUUUUUCAAUAUGCCACCAAUAUUUUUCAAUAUAUCCGUAAAACAUGUUGUCGAUAUAUUCGUAAAAACCUAAUAUUUUCAUCCUUGUAUAUUACCAAAGCACUUAGAAGCAAGAAGAAAUCCCAAAUCCUAAGAUAUUUCAAAUUCUUUCAAUAUUGUUGAUGACGAGUUUGAUAAGGAAGGUGAUGUUUUUUUAAUUAUGGUUGUUAAAAAAUUUGUUGACUCUUGGAUUUUGGAUUCUUGAAGUUCCUUUUACAUGUGCCCAUAUAAGGAGUAGUUUGAUAUCUAUAAGGAAUGUGAUGCUAGUAAUAUUUGAAUGGGCAAUGAUUCAAGCUCCAAAGUCACUAGGAUUGGUUCCAUAAAAGGUGAGGAUGUUUGAUGAUGUUGUGAGGAUAUUGAGUAAUGUCAAGCACGUUUUUAAGUUGAGGAAAAGUUUAAUUUCUUUAGGGGCUUUGCACAAUUUAGGUUAUGAUUUUUAUACAAAGAACAGUAUUAUGAAGAUCAACAAAGGUACUUUGAUAGCUAUGAAAGGGAAAAGGGUGAAAAAAUUUUACGCUUUGAUCAAGAAGACAAUUUUAAGUAGAGCUAUGAAGGUAAAUCCAAGUCAUAAAGAGUCUUUUGCGAGUGUUGAAAGAAAUUGUCAAAUUAGAAGAGCACAACAAGAUGAUCAAAACUUUGUUUUUGUUAAGAGUACUCAUUGACACAAAGACGAGAGUAAUUGUAAAAGGAAUGAAGUUAUAAAGAAGAUCAAGAUGAUUUUUCGAGUCAAGUUUGAUGAGAGUUUAAACUUGACACAUGCUUGUUCUCAUUAAUAAUACAGGAUUGAGAAAAUUUGAGUCAAGUGGAGUAUAUUGGGAUUUGACUCAAAUUUAUUUAUUUUUAACUUUUAGAAAAGUCAAUAUUCAUAGAGUUUGUAUUUUGAUAAAUUACCUUUUUAAGUUUGAUUAGAAUUAGGAAACAAUUGUUUUAAGGUUAACAAGUAAGGUUCUAUAAAUAUUUGGUUUUAUUUCAGAAAUAGUAGAAAAAAUAAUGGGUAAGAAAAGUGUGAAGGGAAAUAGAUAAAAGGACGUAUUGGGCUUUAGGUAGAGAAAGGUUGUGAGAGUUUAAAAUGUGUAAUCUUGAAAGUUAUAAUAAAUUUGAUUUCUCUUUCGCAUGGACAUGAGUGCUUACACUAAACUAUGUAAAUAGUUUGUCUUUUCUAUUUUAUUUUAUUUUUUUCCAUUGUAUUUAAAUGUCGUGAUUUUUCCUAACAAGUGAUAUCAGAUCUUCUAUAUACUCAACAAAUGGCAUCAGAGCUAACACCUAUGAGAGUUCUUGGGCCGUUUUCAAUCGACACUACCUAAACUCAAACUACAGCUCCAAGUGCUAAUCAUCUUGUCUACUAGAUGAACCGGGAACGGAGCCGGCCAAAAGCAAGUCCAUAAAGACUUGAAAUUUUAAGCUAUAAUAAAAGGACUAUCUAUUCACAAACACCCCCCCACCCCUGGGGAACCAAGAUUCAAACCUUCACCCCCUCUCCCAAAUCAACUUUAAGUUAUUUAUCGAUAUCAUACCAGUACUACAAUAUGUUUGUCAUAUCAGAUGAAUAAGCAGUGAAAUAUUGCAGCAAAUGCAAAUCAUUCAAAAUGUGAAAAUCAUUUUGUAGAAUCUAACUACAGCUACUGUACCAUGAAGUUUACACUACCAAUGUACAAAUGCUACUGCAUGAAGAGAGUCCACACAGAAAUAGCCAAACCCAAUAGUAGUUUCUCUCACUUUCUGCAAAUCCAUAGGCAUCUCCAAGUACCACACAUUUACAUAAUAAUCAUUACUAAGAAACACCCAGAAACUGGUAACAGUUUGUUUGUAUGAUGGCCUAAUAAAUACCGAUAUGAAGGAUACACUAAAACACCCCUAUGCAUGCUUUUCUGGGCUGUCCAGAUUUCUUUGCCCAUCUCACUCUACAGCUUUCAAUUCAGUGUUGUAUGGCCAUAACUAGCGGGUUUUAGGUGAAUGGCUUUCUGGCUUCCCAAACUUUUUCAACCCUUCUCACAAAGAAUGGUGCUGCUGAUGCGUGUGUAUAGGAUGUGGCCUAUAGGAAGUAGGUCAGUUGUUUCUUCUUCCUUGAACCGCCUUCUCCAUACAACUCAUUCCACUGCUUCAGCUCAUUCAUUACUGCUCCCUCAGAAGCAAAACUAGAAGCAAC